rnacentral:lncRNA from 1 species
AAGACCCAUCAACAGAUAUAUAAUUGAAUUAUUUUUCCAAUGAUACCAAUUUCGCCUUAAUGCGAUAUCGAGGGCGAGAAGUUAUGGCCAAAAUACUGAAACACUGUUGAAGUUGUGUCGAAUCUAUCCAAGAUAUGACUUGUAAGGUAUGUCCAUGAUAUGACUCGUAAGGUCUCCUUACGAGUUGUUAGGAGGAAGU